UUAAGUUUCUUGGAUCUAAUUCUGAUUGAAAUGCAAUAUGAAAUGCUAAAUGAAUGCAUGAAUGAGGAGGGCAAAUUUUGGGGUGUUACAGAUCUUCACAUUCGGAACUAGGCAGAGUUCAGCAGCAGACUUGCCAAAAAGAUCCUUUCCUCGAAGAGUUUUCAAUUCCUUGCGGAGCUCAAGAAAUUGAUCAUUCAUAGCGUCCAUCUUCUCAUAGACAUUUGGGCCCUCA
rnacentral:lncRNA from 1 species